GACGAACGCUGGCGGCGUGCUUAACACAUGCAAGUCGAACGGAAAGUCCCUGCUUUUGUGGGGUGCUCGAGUUGCGAACUGGUGAGUAACACUUGAGUUCCCUGUCCUUGCCUUUGGGAUAACUUCAUGAAACUUGGUCUCAUACCGCAUAGGAUCUCCUGCUUCAUGGUGGGGGUUGGUUUGUUUCGGCGGUUGGGGAUGGACUCGCGUCCUAUCAGCUUGUUGGUGGGGUAGUGGCUUACCAAGGCUUUGACGGGUAGCCGGCCUGAGAGGGUGACCGGACACAUUGGGACUGAGAUACGGCACAGACUCCUACGGGAGGCAGCAGUGGGGAAUAUUGCACAAUGGGCGGAAGCCUGAUGCAGCAACGCCGCGUGCGGGAUGACGGCCUUCGGGUUGUAAACCGCUUUCGCCUGUGACGAAGCGUGAGUGACGGUAAUGGGUAAAGAAGCACCGGCUAACUACGUG
rnacentral:rRNA from 1 species